CAAGUCGAACGGCAGCACGGGAGCAAUCCUGGUGGCGAGUGGCGAACGGGUGAGUAAUAUAUCGGAACGUGCCCAGUCGUGGGGGAUAACGCAGCGAAAGCUGUGCUAAUACCGCAUACGAUCUAUGGAUGAAAGCGGGGGACCGUAAGGCCUCGCGCGAUUGGAGCGGCCGAUAUCAGAUUAGCUAGUUGGUGGGGUAAAAGCCCACCAAGGCGACGAUCUGUAGCUGGUCUGAGAGGACGACCAGCCACACUGGAACUGAGACACGGUCCAGACUCCUACGGGAGGCAGCAGUGGGGAAUUUUGGACAAUGGGCGCAAGCCUGAUCCAGCAAUGCCGCGUGCAGGAUGAAGGCCUUCGGGUUGUAAACUGCUUUUGUACGGAACGAAACGGUUCGCUUUAAUACAGUGGGCUAAUGACGGUACCGUAAGAAUAAGCACCGGCUAACUACGUGCCAGCAGCCGCGGUAAUACGUAGGGUGCGAGCGUUAAUCGGAAUUACUGGGCGUAAAGCGUGCGCAGGCGGUGAUGUAAGACAGAUGUGAAAUCCCCGGGCUCAACCUGGGACCUGCAUUUGUGACUGCAUCGCUAGAGUACGGUAGAGGGGGAUGGAAUUCCGCGUGUAGCAGUGAAAUGCGUAGAUAUGCGGAGGAACACCGAUGGCGAAGGCAAUCCCCUGGACCUGUACUGACGCUCAUGCACGAAAGCGUGGGGAGCAAACAGGAUUAGAUACCCUGGUAGUCCACGCCCUAAACGAUGUCAACUGGAUGUUGGGUCUUCACUGACUCAGUAACGAAGCUAACGCGUGAAGUUGACCGCCUGGGGAGUACGGGCCGCAAGGGUUGAAACUCAAAGGAAUUGACGG
rnacentral:rRNA from 1 species